CACCCCGACAGCUGAGCAGUCUACUUCAGGAGUCUCUUAUCAUUUCUCGGGCAGCAUAUGAUGCCCUUAUGCAGCUUCACAUUCAGGAUAUUCCUGAGCCUUCUCACGCGGCUUCGACCCAGUCAGGUACUGCCCUUCUUGCGUCAUCCUCUCCUACCUCCUGGGUCAUCGACUCUGGAGCUUCCUCCCAUAUGACUGGACCUACAGACGAAGAGAGUGAUUGGUGGGGGGCAUGAGCGAGGAGGCGUUUAUCUUCUCGAUGAUACACCUGUUGCCGCUUCUAGUACCCUUUCUCUAGAUCAAGAGUCCAUGACUCGGUGGCAUUGCCGCUUAGGCCACCCAUCCAUUGCUAGAUUGAGACUUGUAUUUCCCUCCUUACCUGUCACUAAACCAUUAUGCUGUGAUAUUUGUGAAUUGUCUAAACAUUAUCGUGCUACGUUUCCUCCUAGCUCUUCUGGGAGGAAAUCUCAACCUUUUCUUCUGGUUCACUCGGAUGUUUGGGGACCAGCUCCGGUUACUUCGACUUUUGGAUUUAGAUAUUUUGUUACCUUUAUUGAUGAUUAUUCCCGCA